AUAUUACUAGUAUACUAAUAUUAUACCACUUUUCCAAAGUGGUGAUCUACUCUUGUAGGUAAUAUA
rnacentral:tRNA from 1 species